rnacentral:hammerhead_ribozyme from 1 species
AUCCUGCUGACGACUCGUAAAUAGGACGAAACGCGCGUCCUGAAU